AUUGAACGCUGGCGGAAUGCUUUACACAUGCAAGUCGAACGAUGAACCCUAGCUUGCUAGGGGGAUUAGUGGCGAACGGGUGAGUAAUAUAUCGGAACGUGCCUUGUAAUGGGGGAUAACUAGUCGAAAGAUUAGCUAAUACCGCAUACGCCCUGAGGGGGAAAGUAGGGGAUCUUCGGACCUUACGUUAUAAGAGCGGCCGAUAUCUGAUUAGCUAGUUGGUGGGGUAAUGGCCUACCAAGGCGACGAGCAGUAGCUGGUCUGAGAGGACGACCAGCCACACUGGAACUGGGACACGGUCCAGACUCCUACGGGAGGCAGCAGUGGGGAAUUUUGGACAAUGGACGAAAGUCUGACGCAGCGACGCCGCGUGGGUGACGAAGGCCUUCGGGUUGUAAAGCCCUGUGGGGUGAGACGAACAGCUGGGGUUCGAAUAGGGCCUUGGUCUGACGGUAUCACCUUAGCAAGCACCGGCUAACUCUGUGCCAGCAGCCGCGGUAACAC
rnacentral:rRNA from 1 species